ensembl:lncRNA
GCGAACCUUGCUCCUGGCUGUCACCCCAGGGUCCCCUCUGUGCCCCACAGCCCUCUGUGUGUCCCAGUUAUGACCCCCCGCAGUGAUUGUCUGUUGUUCUCCUCCUACUAGGGUAUGAGCAUCAGGGGGCAGGACUUGCAUCUGUCUUGUUUCUGGAACGUUCCGGAUGCCUGGCACAGAACUUGGCAGAGUAGGCGCUCCUUAAAGAUCUGUUGAACUGUCAUUCAGCGCAUAAACAAUCUGUUCAACACAUAUUUUUGCACAGCCUCUGCUGUGCCAGGCACGAAGCUAGGCGCUGGGGCAACAUUCCCUGAACCAAACAAAAAGCCUUGCUCUUGGAGCGUUUAGGUUCUCGCAAGGGAAAGCCACACUGUCCUAGGUUGGUUCUGGCAGAAACAGACCCUGAGGCUGGGAUCUGAGCGCUGACAGGACGCACCGGUAGGGAGAAGCAGAAGUGAGACAGAAAAGCGAGAGAAGCCACACAAGGAAGUGAAACAGCGGGUGACCGCUGUGGGCACCGGGCUCAGCUCCGAGGAGUUCUGGGGGACGGUGUCCCACCUGAGAGCGAGGAAGAUGGGGGUACUGAUCCAUCGCCUCCCAUUCUUCUGCCGCUCAGGGCUGCUCCUGGCCUGGCCCACCUGCAGGCUGAGCUGCUCCUGCCCCCAGAUGCGGGUCUUCAGGCAGCGUCUCGGGUGCCUGCAGCGAGCAGCCACGGGCAGGACAGAGAGAGAGCCGGAGAGCAGCGAGGGCUACGGGCGAGCCACAUAUGCAGUAAACAAGAACCACGAAGAAUAAGUAAAACGUGUCCCAGCCAAUAGCAUCCAGAUUGAUCCUAAACUUAAUGAAGACUGAGCCAAGGCCAGCAGAACUUUUUCCAUCUAUAAACGUGACAUCAGGUAGAAAUGCUGAGAAGUUUGGAGGUAAAAUGAGGAUGUUCCAUCCCUCCACACAAUAAAAAGUCUGGGAAGAUGUAUUCCUGCCCGUCAGUCUAAUCCAGCCGCUGCGACAAUUCCCAGACUUGGACUCCCCGGCUGACCUCCUCCACCAGCUGGAGCAGGAGCAUCUGCUAAGGGUAGUUUUCUCCUCCUUUUGUUUUCAGAAACCCUUCCUUAACUUCCUUAAGUAGAAGGGGAGGCGUCUGCGUACCCUCCUUACGUGUUAAUCCACUAGGUUAGAGAGUAAGCGUGUUUCAUGAGGUCGUAGGGAAUUGGCUUUGAAAGUCAGAGGGCAUUUGAGCUCCCCACCCACCCCGGGGUGUGCCGUUGGGUAAGUCUCUGAGCCUCAGUUUCCUCAUCUUUGAAACAAGGCUAGUAACACCUAGGGCGGUCGUGAUGAUUAUAUGAGAUAUGGCACUUAAAGGACCCAGCAAUACCUGGUGGAGAACAAGUGCUCAAAAAUGUUAGCGGCUCUGUCGACACCAUCAUCACUGUUAUUACAUUGUUAGCUUCCAAAAGACAGGGUAAUCUUUUGUAGCCUGUUCCUCUCUUUGUUGCCUAGGACAUAGUAGGGACCCAGCAGAUGUUUGUUGAAUGAACAAGCAAAUCCACCCAGGAAGCUCUAGUAACAGUCAAUUUCACAAUGCCCUGACUAAUAGCAGCUAACAUUUAUUGAACACUGUUCCAGAAACUGUAUGACGUCCCAUUGCCUUGUUUAACACACAAGUUCAUUGACCUUGUCUGGCCUUCUGAUUUGACUCCUGCAGCCUUGGUGUCGUUGAUUGCAGACGGUGACGUCUGCUGCAGAUUUCUGUAUUAUUUCUGUGACGCCAACAGCAGCAUCAUUUCUGUAGCAUAGCCACUGCUGAGAUAGGAGUCUGGUGUCAUGCUGACGUCAGGCCCUGUGUCCUCAUCUCCCCAGGGAUCAGCUGGCUUCCUUGAUGCAGUUUCCUCAUCUCUUAUUAGUAGAUUGCUUGACGUUACACUCCUGAGACAGCAGGGCUCAAUGCGAGUUUAUGGCUGCAGCCUCGCAGCUUGCCAGGGCCCCAUUUAUCCUGGGAUAACGUCCCGUGGCAUCCCUUCCUCCUUCUGCCUCUCUGUGGCUGCUUUCAGAGCAGAGCAGCAGCUCCAGGGGAGGGCAGACCAAGGAAGGUCUUUUCAGUUCUUCUGCCCCCUCCCUGUGUGUGACUUUGGGUUAGAGAAGCCUUUAGGAAUCAUCUAAUCCAAUGCUUUUUAUGCCGUUCUGUGGGGUUUUUAGGGUUCAAAGGAGCCCCUCCCCCAAUGAGGAGCUGCUUUUGGGUGAGAACAACUGCCUGAACAGGCAGAGCCUGGGGCAUCCUAUCUCUGGUUCAACCAGCGUGAGCUCUGUGACAUCUUUGGGACCUUGAGGAACAAGUUUCUUUUUAUUCUUCAGUAGAAACUUUGACAGCAAGACAGCACAAUGUUAGGCAGAGGCUUUGAGCAAGAUCUCUAUGCAUUUAUUUGUUCAUCCAGCACAUUCCCAGACACUAUACUAGGGUGUUGGGGAUAGAGCAGCGAACAAGAAGCUCCUGCCACCACGUAGCUUAUAUUCUAGUUGGAGGAGACAGACAGGAAAAUAUAUACCACGUAGUGCCUCUCCAAGGAGGUGACAUGUGAGCAGAGACCUGGAGGACGUGAAGGUCGUUCAGUGGCAGGAGGACGUUCCCAGCAGAGGGAAUGGCCGUGCAAAGUCUCUGAGGCAGGAGGCCAGAGCAGCUGGAGAGGAGGCGAUGGUGGGGCCAGUGGAAGGAGGAGAGAGGUGUGGGGUCUAGAUUACUAGGAGGUUAGAGACGGUGGAAAGGACUUUAAAUUUUUGUUCUGUGGGAGAUGGGAAGACGUUGGAGGAGUGAGAGCAGAGAAGUGAUACGACCUGAUUGACAGGACCUGUAUUCACAUUUGUCAUUUUGAUUGUGUGAAUUAUCGUGUUGUUCCAAUGUUAUACUAGGUGUCGAAGGCAAUGACUAGACAAGGCCCCGAUCAUAUUAGCUAGGAAGGCGAAAGUGAUCCAGAAGGCACUGUAAUAAAUGACAUAUAAGAUAGGGAAGGAAAUAAGAGGUACCCCACCGUGUCGGAGAAAAACCAAGGGAGCACCCCAUUGGUCAUGAAUGCAACCGUGAGUUGAUAAUGACCAAAAGAGGGGACUGUGGACAGAUCGUUAGGACCCCUCUCCCUGGUCUAACAGGCAAAGCUAGCAAGCAAGCUUUAAGUCAGUGCAAUAAACUCCGUGCUGUGCUGUGAAGCAGCUGUUCUGUGGAGCAGCCGUGCAGGCCACCUUGAGCCUGUGUCAAGUGACCUGGCAACUGCAUACCUCGUGACUGAAGACGCCAGCUGGACAGAUCCACAGCAGGAAGAGAUAAAGAGGGACCUCGCUCUCACAUUUCCCAGCUGCAUUUCUUAGAGACGGAGGGACUAAUUAACGAUCCUGGUCCUUCCUCUCUCCACACCUAGCUAAUAUCAGCAUCUCGGAACUUGUUUGAUGUUUAACCAAGAAAUUCUUGUUUGUGUUACCCUCAAUGUAUAAUCUAGAGAAAAGUCCAGAUGCGCUCUAUCCCUUUUUUAAAAAUCUAGUUGUAGGUUUUUUUCUCUUCCUCUUCCCUGCACGUGCACUGUUUGAUGAAAGAGAUGUAAGCUGCGCUUAAACUCGCAGCACUCGGAGCAGUUCCAUCAGAGUGCUCUGCUCAGCUGUUUUCCUGGGUUCGAACGCCUCACCCUGAUUAUUGAGUAAACUCCUUCACUGGUAUCACCCCACUCUUUAUUUCAGCCAACAGACCAUUGUGGCUACUGGGUAGAGAAUGGAUUUUAGGGACCAGCGUGGAAGCUGGAAGCGGAGGCCACUUAGGAGGCCGUGGAAGGAGUCCAGGUGUGAGGUGACGACAGCAUGGACCGCGGCAGUGGAAUGAAAAGAUGAGAGGCACUCAGGUCUGAAGGUAGAGUUCAAAAGGUCUGCUAAGGAAUUCCACGUUGGGUGGGAGAGAAAGAGGACCAUGAAUGACUCCAAGGCUCGGGGCCUGAGCCCUAGGUGAAAGGCGCCGUUUCCCGAGCUGGCGGAGGUGGGAGGGGUGACAGCAGACAUCUGUCACCAUUUGCCAGUUCCACUGCGGAGGAGGAACUGCCACGUGGGGACGGUAGAGGUCUGAGACUGGAGGGGUGUUUUAGCUGAGGUUUUCCCAUCAUAGUGAUUUGUCCCAGGUCCCACAAGCUGGAUCUAGAUCAACUGAUCCCCAGUGCCAAGGCCUCCUACUAUCUAUUAGUGUCAACAAAAUUUCAUUUCUGUUGACCCCCGCUUCGGGUUCAGGCAGCGGUGACCAGAGGUGCUGGGCUGCCAGUGGUGCGUUUUGAUGCUCGACGGCUCAGUGCUGUGACGAGAGCUUAUGUCAUGCAGAUCAGCAAGGGGGCCAGCCUUUUCUUUUCCUCAGUGGCACGCUUGGCGGAGAAUUAGACAGACUGGGAUACAUUUGGAAGAGGAAGGUCAGAAUGGCCGAGCACUGAAGACCACACUCUGAACAGAGGCAGCCUAGAGCUGGGACGCUGACCUGGAGAAGCCCAACGGGACUGGAGCGUUUCCUCUGACGACUCAGGCCCAUGUGAGGGAACCUGCCUCCUGCUACUGCAUGUUUGCUGGUUUCGAUUCCAUGUAAUUUGUAGUUCUCAUAUAAUUAAGUAUUAACUUUCAGCUCUCGAUGGCCGUGGCUACUUCCCUUGGCGGGGAAGGCGUGUGACCUGGAGAUGAGGUAAGCAUUCCUGGUCACCACACUUUUGCCAGCAUCUAACUGAUGUGCGUUCCCCAGCCUGAAAAUUUUGAAACAAAUGGAAAUAAAGAUUUGUGUAACGUUUUAUAACCUAUUUUUUCACUUUAAAAUGUAUUAUGAACAUUUUUCUGUCAUUAACUAUUCUUUUAAAAUAGGACUUUAAUCAUUGUGGUUGAUUUUGCUUAGGGGGUCUGAAGUUUUAAACUGGGUCUUUUGGGUCUUGACCUUGAGGGAGAUGAGAUUGUUCCCGUAGGGGCCUGAAAUAGUGAGGCCUCGCCGAAGCUGGAGAGGAGUUGAGCCGAGGGAGAAGAGAGUGGGCUGUGGCCUAGAAAGCUGGUGCCGGGGUGUGGGCUGCACGCUUGUUGGCUGGGAGCCAGAGCUCUGUCCUUUGGGAGCUUCACUGUUCCAUCACUUAGGAACCUGGACAGGUAACAGAAUACCACGGAAAGUGCCUUAAAAAAAGCAGAGAUCUUUUUCACAACAGGUCUGAAUUGGGGAGUUGUCGGCAUUGGUUCAGCUGUAAAUCUUGCUCUGGCAGCUCGGGCUGGGGUAUCCUUUCUCUCCCCUCUUCCUUGGUAGGUUGGAUUUUGUUCUCAUGGCCUCAUAAGUCUGCCCUGGCUCUUGGCAUCCAACCUUCAUUCAAGACAGGAAGAAACCGGAAAGGAGCAAUGCCAACUGGGUCUGUCACUUUUUUUUUUUUUGAGGAAGAUUAGCUCUGAGCUAACAUCUGCUGCCAAUCCUCCUCUUUUUGCUGAGGAAGACUGGCCCUGAGCUAACAUCCGUGCCCAUCUUCCUCUACUUUCUAUGUGGGACGCCUGCCACAGCAUGGCUUGAUGAGUGGUGCCAUGUCCGAACCCCGGAUCCUAACUGGUGAACCCUGGGUCACAGAAGCGGAAUGUGUGAACUUAACCGCUACGCCACCGGGCUGGCCCCUGGGUCUGUCUCUUUUUAUCAGAAAAGCAAAAGCUUUCUCAGAACCCCAUCCUCAUCCCCACCCCAGCAGUCUUCCGCUUGGCCAAAACUGUCUCACACGACUGCCCCGAGAUGAAAGAGAGGCUGGGAAGUGAGUGUUGAGCAUUGCAACCUUUCUUGUAAAGGCAGACAAGGGAGAAAGGGGCGGGGCAGCGCUGGCCAAUGGAACUGGAAUGCGAGCCAUGUAUGUAAUUUGAAAUGUUCGAGUAGCCACAUUUUUUUUAAAAAACCCCAGGUGAAGUAAAUGUUUAAAAUAUGUGUUAUUUAAUGCAAUAUAUCCAAAAAUCACUUCAGCAUGUAGUCAAUAUAAAAAUUAUUAAUGAGAUAUUUUGGACUUUUUUUUUAUAUGAAGGCUUCGAAGCCUGAUGUCUAUUUGACACAGACAGCACAUCUCUCUUUGAACCAGUCACAUGUCAAGGGCUCAGUAGCCGCAUGUGACUAGUGACUAAUGUAUUAGACAGCACAGGUGGAGACUUGUUGAGUGAGCAAACCAACAGUGUCUUGCCAAAACUAUUUUGUAGCUACUGGUUUUUUCUGUAAUUGUUUUCCUUUUUCAUUCUUCCAGUUGAACUUAGAAAAUGCCACCUUGUCUCAGCCUGCUGAAGAGAAAGAAGUAAAGAGGAUUUGGGUUUGUGUUAUGACUAAAGUAAUAAAGAUGGGGAACUGGAACCUUCUAGGGCCAGACAAGAGGGGAGCAGUGGAAUUCAAACUUUGAGAACCUGGCAUGGCACUGUGGAUGGAUGAGAGGAAAGGGACGUGAGAGCUACGCCUCCGGCUGGAAGCCAGGGAUGGAAACAGAUGUGCCUGGAGUUCUGUGUAGAAAAAUGAUAAUUGAGCUGACUGUGGUGGUGUCCCCAAGACCAGCCCAGGACGCAGCACACAGCUGCGCUCACAGCUAUGAUUUAUUACCGUGGAAGGAGGCAGCGCCAGAUCAGCCAAGGGAAAAGUAACCAACUGUGACUACACAUGUGAAAUGUUGCCCACCAUGGAAGCUCACCUGAGCCUCGGGGUCCACGAUUAUGUCGGGGGUCCACCACCUAGGUACCCUCCGCCUAGCACGCACCAAAAUCCUGGACUGCCAGAAGGAAAGCGGAUGUUCAGCAGAAACCACGUUGUUUGUAUGAGCAGCUCAGCAUGGUGAGCCACUCUUCAUUUUGGUAAUGGUGAGAACACUCCCCAAAUCCGUGUUCCCAAAUCACAGCCAAGGGCUACACCUGCGAGCAGGUCUUUCUAAAAAUGGCGGUCUCGGGCCUGCUAUGUUCGCUCAUCUGCACAGUCCACCCCCUGGGCUCUUGGCCAAGGCAUCUUUACAGCAAAAUUGUCAUGUCCAGGAGCCCAUGCAGCAGAGUGAGACAGCCCAGCAGUCUUGAUCUCAGACAGGCCCCUUAGGGGUGCUCGACGGAGCCACUUAAAACAAAGCCCAGUCACCACACCAGGUGGCUUUCUCCUUAUGUGUUGGUGUGAGCCUUUGUUACCAGCCCGAGGCAUUGCUGACAUACAGCACAGCUUGGACCGUAAGUCGAAGCUGACCUGAAGGCUUUCCAGGACUGAGGCGGUGACAGGAGGAACACACAGAAAGAACGCAGCCCAGAGGCAUGCGUCGUACCCCUGGAAACAAAGAGCUGACAAUCACUGGGGCACGCCAAGCAGGACAUGCAUUAGUCAGGCAGCACCAGUCAACAGGGAGCCCAGUGUGGUCUCCCACCACGGGAACUCCCACCACUGGCUUCCAGCUCCAGCCAAUUAAUUCCAUUCAGCCCUCGGAUUCAGAGGGACUGCCUGAGGCCGUCAGUGACAAACGGUUUGCUUGUCGGUGACACCAGCUCGUCUGCUCAGGAGUGUGGAUGUGUCUGGAGGUGUUCUGCGUGCGAAGUGGGGGAGCAGGGCCCCCUGCUGACCGGCAGCCAUGGGCUGUCAGUGUGAUCAGAGAGGCUCAGCCGUCAGUUUGAGUCGAAAGCUUUCCCGAAGCUUGGAAAGGCAGUUCAGGGAGCAUUCCUUCAGGAAGAGGGGAAGCUUCGAGGGGCUGUCAUGAAAAACAGCAUUUGUGCUCCCCUGCGCCUCCCUAGGUGCCAGGGUUUUUGUUUUUUCUCUCUUGUCUCCAACUCUGUGUGUCCCAUUUAGCAAUCAUAAUGUUGCAUUUUUAAAAAUCUCUUACCAUCAUCCAAACCUUUCACCUGGAACGGUUGCACGCGAGAGAAACAAAAGCAUUCUCACAGAAAAACGUUUUUAUACAACUGAACCAGAAAGAUCAUCCUGUUCAGACGUUAGAAUGAAAUCCUGAGUUUUCAACAGCUUUCAAAAUGGGUUUCCUGAACCUCCCAUCCCUUUCAUCCUGAUCUUUUAUCCAGCGAGCUGCCUCUUCUGGAGCGUGCUGUGUUUAAUAAUCAAAGUGCUCGCAAGCGUGUGCACCAGGAGACGGGGCAGGAGUCAGGCGCUGGUGCAGCGCAGCCAGCUGCAGCCGACCCAGGAAUCUGAGUGGAACAAGCAACGGCCGUGAGGCGGCUCUUGAGAGGCGGUCAAGAGUGUAAUCUGUCCGGAGAGGGCGAAGGGGUCACAAGCCAGGGAGGUGCCCUCCCCCACCUUGCAGCUUUCCGCAGUAGCCUAAGUUAAAAGGCAAUCAGUCUGUCUGAUGCAUUUCAGAUGGUCCCAUCAGGGCCAAAGCCCUUCCCUGUGGACAUUUGUAUGUGACCCUGAUGGUUCAGCCAGCGUCUUACCUUCUCAUAGUUCAGGCCCCCAAAGGGGUACCCUAUAUCUACAUGGGCCCCUGAGUUGAGGCCCUCUUCUUUGGGCCAGUGCCAGCUUUAGUUCAGCACAGCUGGGGCUGAGGCUGAGGCUGAAACAGCCGCCAGCAGGUAGAAUCAGGUUUCAGCUCUGAGUCAGGUCCAGGCAAUUCGGAUCAGGGAAUUCAUGACUCCGAAAAAAGCCUUGGCAGCACAAAGGGCUGACUCUAGAGGGCCAAAGGGCUGGCUUCCCAGCCCCAGGGACGACCAGCAGGUCUUUCCUAAGCUCUUUCUGUCUUGUCAUUCUUAGAGUCUAAGUCGACACACUCAAAAAAUAUGCACAGCAGGCAAGAAAAACAUCAGCCUGUAAGGGUCGGCUUUUACAAGAUGUGAUAUGAUUUAUAAGAGGUCAUUAGCUGCUAAAAAUCUUUAAAAACUCCAAAGUGUAUUUUCAGCUGGUGAGUGCCUCUCCUUUGGUGUCAGUUUCCUUUUCCCAGAGGCUCCAAUAGGUAAAAAUCAUAGUAAACAUCAUCAGAAUGGAGACUUACUGUUGUAAUAUCCAAAGAGUUUAAAUCCUAAUUUGCUCAUUAGUGGCAAAAAAGGAGGGAAGUCGGGUCUCACUAAUACUGUUUUUUUGUGGGUUUUUUUUUUGCAGUUUCCCCGAUUGGGAUGAUCUUUCUAGCAUUUAUGAAAUUACAAGCCUAUAACACUUUUCCUCAAUGUUUACCAUACAUCCAGAUACCAUAGCCACAAAAUACAAAGCCAUUUUUAAAACUACCCCCUCUCCUUUUGUUUCUCAUUGUGAAUUUACUCAAAUCCCAAGCAGGAAAUUCGGCAUGUGCAGGGUUAACAUCACAGCAGCUGGGAGAGCUUGGCUGGAAUGCCAGGGGGAGGUGGCACGAAGACAUGGUGGCAUCGCCCCUUCUGUUUGUUUUUCCCUCUGGUUUAAAGUUUCGCUCUGUCAAAAUUGACAACAGUGAAUCCAUUUUAAAAUGGCGUCGGAGCUGCAUUUCCAGAGAAAUUGCUUUGCUGUCUUGAAACUGGGGCUGGGCCAAACCUUUGGGAUGGGCCAAAACAGCGACUGUUUUACAAACAAUUAUCUGAGAAGUCAGCAGGAGAACGGACAUCCUGAUCACGAAGCUGAGGACUGCGGACUCUCUGAAGGUAGAAUCAAUAGUCAGUCAGGGUUUAGCCAAGACUAGCUUCUGCCUCCAACUCCAAUUAAAAUUCUUUGUGAUACAACCUCCCUUCUUUGCCUUUAAAAGCCCCGGACUUUUAUUCCCUAGCAGGACACUAUUUGGGUUUCUACCUGAAUCUGUGCUCCCCAAAUUGCAAUUCUUUGAUCCCGAAAUAAACGCCUCUCCGCCUCUCCUUUUGGCUCUUUAUUUUUAGGUUAACAUAAUGGUGCCAGAAAGCGGGACCUGAAAUGAUCUCACUUUCGUGGACUGGCAUCCCCUGGAAAUGGUUGGGCAGCAACUCCCCCCUUGCGUUCAGCCGCUUCCACGGACAGCCAGCUCCUCCGAUAGUGGGACCUCUCGGGCUCGGACCUCCCUCCCUUUGGUUGAGGUCAGUGCCUCUCUUUGGGAUCAGUAUGGCAGCUUUUGCCAUAGCAGGAGAGGGGCCAGCAGGGGAUUCCCUCGUUACUGCACCCACAUGGCUCUUGCUGCGGGAGGAUUGCCUCCACUGAGCGCUCCCAAUUCGGAGGGGUUUCCCUAGGUAGAAAUUCUGCUUAGACAAACUUUGUUGUGGGUUAAUAUGCACAUGAGGUAAACACUAUUGCUAAGGGACAUCUUGGAAACCAAAGCUGCCAAAUUGGUGGGCGUGGGUCGAGCAUUUAAGAGCGCUUAGGGUACCCACCACCUCAAGAAGUCUGCCAGGAUGGGAUAAGUCGGUCAUAGAACAGGUUAGAUUGACACUAGGUCACCCACUAACCCCAAGAAAACUUCCCUACAACAAAGUACACUGUAAAAACACCACUUGGUCUCAACCCCAUGGCACACACAUCCCUCUUAGGUAUCAGUUUGGCUCCAAGAGACCCAGGGCUUAGCUAACCCUGUUAACGUGCAUAUAAAGAAAACCCUAUUGUCAUUCAAGGUCGCGCUUUUCUCUACCGUGGGAUUUUCGUUAUCUGCUUCCCUAGGAUUUCCUCCCUCAGGAACUCCAGCUGGUUUUAUGUUUAAGAAUUCCAGUCCUGUAAAUUCUUGACCCAGUGGACCCAUAAUACAAAAGAUGAUUUAAAGUUACAGUGGCCACUUUGGGGCUCUUUAGAGCUUCCAAAACUUGUCUUUUUACAUAACCAGCUUGGAAGCUGCGUAUUUAAAAUCAGGCUGGCAGGAUGGAGCACAGUUUUCAAUUGGCGUACAGACAAGAGGAAUCUCAAACCGCUGCCAGCCUGAGGAGUUAUGCUGACCAUUAGAAGGAACGUUCCAAUUGGAUAAGAUCAUUUAAGAAACGCACUUAAAAGCCAAGGCUUUAAAAUUCCAAAAUAGCUUCAUUGAAAGAUUUGUUGCAAAAAGCUAUUAAAAAAUUAAGAUAUAAGAGGUACCUCAAAGAAAAGACUACACAAAAGUUGGUUAAGUUAGUGCCUAUACGGACACCCUCAUAUCUACCUUCGAGGAAGGGCCCCAUAUGGGCCCCUCCCAGAGUUAAUGAGACUGAGAGAUUUUCUGGUAAACUGCUAUGUUAUUUCCUUAAACAGCCAAGGGGAAACUAAAGUUAAAAAUUAAUAGAGUUGUUUAAUACUACCAGAAAUAUUUACUAUUUUCCCCACCUGAAAUCUAACAAGAUAGUUGAAAGGAUUUCGUAACAUGAUCAGAAAUUUGGCCCAACUGGAAGCUGAUAGUCAGAGCCUGAUGGGAAUUUUUUUUCUAGGCUUUUCCCCACAAAGGGAAAGAAACAAAUUAGGGAAAAUGUAAUUGGAUGGGUAUGUCAGGCCUUGAUGAGCAGCUAACCUCCUCUGUUUGUCUCAAAAGGCUUAUAACCUCUCUGGGAAUUGUUAUCUAGACAAUCUCCAGUUACUAAGACUAAAGGAGAGAAAAGGGGAAAGAAGCUUUUGGAGAUGCAGACUACUACAGAAGGACCCUUGCACAAAAAUCUAAAGAAAAUUUUAAAAAGUGGAGACUAGAAAAUCUUUGUUUUGCAUCGGUCUGUGUGUGUCUGUGUGUCUAUGUGUGUGCUAUAAACAUGAGAUAUUUUUCUACCUCCAGGUGGUAUUGCCAAACUUAAGAGCCCUGUUUAAUUGGCUUUAAGGUCAAACACUUGUAAGAUUUGGGCAUUUUAAAGUUCUCAGAAGUAUAACAGAAAGUAACCCAAAUGUUUUUCAAGUUCACAAGAUAUGGACUAAUCUUUGGUAAAUAGAAGCUUAUUGAAGUUUGUUGGUUUGAUUGAAAUAGGUAUGUCCUCAGAGUUAUCAGCACUGGAUACGAUGCAGGCAUGCAGCCUUUAUUCUACCCGGGUUUAUCAGUCAAACAAACUUAUGACAUCUUUGUUACAAAAUGUCAGCUAUAAGAAUAAUAACUUACAAUGAUGGCUGAUUUUGUCUAAUGUCUCAUGAAGUUUUUGUAGGCAAUCUAAACAUAAUUAUUGGGAACAAACAAACUAAACAGAUUUAAGUAAGAUAAAAAGGUUUUGGGUGAACGUUUUAACAAUAAUUAUGUGUUAUGGAAUAUGUACUUAGAACAACUUCAAAACCUUUUUGGCAACUUGAAAUAGAGUUUUGCAAAAUUAAGUUGAAUGGUGGAAACUGAUCGAGUGUCUAGAUCAUUUCCAAAUAAGAUAAAACAUUAGACAUUCAUUACUAAACAUAGCUUUACCUACUUUUGGCUUCUUAUUUCAGAAAAAAAGAAAAACCCUAAAAGAUGUUUGGGUUUAUUAAUAAAUGUGUUUUGUGCUGAGAAAUUUUCUAUGAGAAAACACAUGUUUCUAGAAAGUAUUUAUAAAUCUGCCCAUCUACAGAGUGCUAAUGUAAAAGGCAGUUUAUAAUUGUUUACUUCUUAGUUUUCACUAAAAAUUAAGGUUUCUAAGGGUUAAGAAUUCUAAUUAAUACAUGUUAUUCAAGGUACUAAAAAUUAAUAAGGGAAACAUCUCUAUACGAGGAAAGUAAGACGUAUGUUUUCAGUUAACAAAGGUGUGAGAAAUGGAGAUACAUUCUUUGUGAAAGAGAAGGAAAAUAAUUUCUCCUAAGGAGAGGCCAGAAAGGAGGGAAGGCAUGGGACAAAUUCUGAAUGUAAAAAAGAAAGUCAUAAAAGGUUUGUGGGGGCUGGCCCCUUGGCACAGUGGUUAAGUUCCCACCUUCCACUUCGGUGGCCUGGGGUUCGCCAGUUCAGAUCCCAGGUGUGGACCUAUGCACCGCUUGUCAAGCCAUGCAGUGGCAGGUGUCUCACAUAUAAAGUAGAGGAAGAUGGGCACAGAUGUUAUCUCAGGGCCAGUCUUCCUCAGCAGAAAAGAGGAGGAUUGGUGACCGACGUUAGCUUGGGGCUAAUCUUCCUCAAAAAAGAAAAAAAAAGGUUUGUGGAAGAAGAACCCUGAGAAAAGAGUUUUGUGCAUGGUCAAGUCAGGUAAGAUUGAAAUGAAUUUAAUUAAAUAAGUGUUUUAAUAUUAAAAGUAAGCUGGUGCAAAAUUAGCAUUUGGUUUCCUCUCUUUUAAAAGGAUAGUUUUUUUGGACUUUUAGUCUGGUCUUGAUAAAGAAAUUAUGAAAGGUUUCCCUCUACCUUUGAGAAAGUGUACCUAAAAGGCAGGGAUUCUAUGUUUGUCAAAAUAAUUUCCUAUGUUCAAAAAAGCUGAGGCCUUGGGGCUGGCCUGGUGGCAUAGUGGUUAAGUUUGGGUGCUCUGCUUCAGCAGCCUGGGGUUCUCCGGUUCGGAUCCAGGCACGGACAUAUGCACCACUUAUCAAGCCAUGCUGUGGGAGACAUCCUACAUAUAAAAAUAGAGGAAGAUGGGCACAGAUGUCAGCUCAGUACCAAUCUUCCUCAAAAAAAAAAAAAAAAGAAUAUACUGAGGCCUCUCUAUUAAGAGAACUAAGGUUUGUUUUUUGGGUUUUUUUCCCAACUGUUUAACUCUCUGUGUUUGCAUUUAACAUCUUUUGUUGUCACUUUGUUUAAAUGGAUAAACAAGUGUUAUUCACAGUAACCUGUGAUCCUAUUUGACCAACUGUUUUAUAUCGCAUGGCUGAAUGUUAUUAAUAUGUGUUCUAAAAAUUACAUGAAAUUCCUAAAAAUCUGCUAUGUUCUGGUAAAAUAUCAGUCAUAAUUCUAGUUAUUAUUUUAAAAUGUUUGUCACAGAAAUAACCACAUUUCCUUGUCAGUUGCAUUGUAAUCAGGUCUUUAACUAUACCACUUUAAGUCUUUUGUCAUUUGCAAAUAGUUAUUGUUUUUCUCUGAUGCUUUUGCAAAUACGUUUCAUCUUCAGAGAGGUUCACGGAAAGGAACCUGACGCUUACUCUGGAAUACAGGUUUCUGAUAAACUUUCAGAUCAUAGAACUAAACUUGGUAAGAAAUUACAGAACUCUCACAGAGAGACUGAUGACUUCAUAAAGCCGCUAAGAAAAGAUCAAGAGCAAAUAUUAAUUACGUGGGACUACGUGAACCGAGGAUGAUGCUCUAAUGUUUUGUUUUUCCAGAUUUAAAGAAAUCUUUUCUCCUAAGCUAUCAACAAUUUGGUAAGAUACACCUUUGUGAACAAAGAUGAAACGUUUACUUUUUCUUCCUACCUGAGCCCCCCAGAAUUCAGAAACUCCCAGUGAGUAUUAUUGUUUUCAUUUAAUCAGGCCAAGUUUAAACAAAUUAGUUUUACUGUGAUUAUCUUUGGUAAAAAAAUGAGGGUAAUUGUAGAGAGAAAAAUUAUGUUUGCACCUUUGUAGAUAUGAGGCUCUAGUCCCGUUAAUUGUCUUUGAGGUUAUGUUGUCUACGUGCAGACUGGACUACCCCAGCCUCAGGUAUUGUCUUUGGUCUCACUGACUGUUAGCAGUACCCUCUUUGGAAAACAUGAGCGGGGCUGGCCCCGUGGCCGAGUGGUUAAGUUCGCGCGCUCCGCUGCAGGCGGCCCAGUGUUUCGUUGGUUCGAAUCCUGGGCGGGGACAUGGCACUGCUCAUCAAACCACGCUGAGGCAGCAUCCCACAUGCCACAACUAGAAGGACCCACAAGGAGGAAUAUACAACUAUGUACCGGGGAGCUUUGGGGAGAAAAAGGAAAAAUAAAAUAAAAUCUUUAAAAAAAAAAUAAGAAAACAUGAGCUGACUCCACAUGAGACAGUCACCAUCAGAUCAGUGUCUAUUUGACACAGCCUUCCUCUGACCCCCUGCUGGCUUAUGCGCGUAUGACCCGCUACUUUAGGUCUCUAACGUCUUAUGCUCUAGCCCUUCAUCAACAGGUCAAAGAAGCUUCCCUGCACCCCAACUUAAAAGAUCCUGUGGGUCACAGUCUAGAGGCUGAUGACUGGGUAUCCUGGAAGCAUCAUCAGAGGAAGACACCCCUGAGCCCCACUGGAAAGGACCUUACCAAGUGCUCCUAACCACUGGCAUUGCUGCAGAACUAGAAGGCAUUGAACCUUGCAGAUCCAUCUCCUGGCUGAAGAAGGCUCUGCCUGACAUCUGGUCUUGUACGAAUGCUGGAGGCCUCCAGAUCAAAUUGACUGGGGAGAGAGGCAACUGACGCCUGAGGCAGACAGCUUCCCCCGAUGGCCAGACCAGGCCUGUGCUGUCACUUGCUGUUGUUUCUUACCUUAUUUUCUCCCUCUCUUUCUUGAAAUGACAAUACUCUUAUUUGCAUCUCCCAAUCUAUUACCAAAGGGAGAACUUUUCCUAACCAUUGGGUUUGUCAUCAGAAGCCUCGUUCUGUACAUGAAUCUUUAGUACAUUUAAUGACCAAUCUCUCUGCCAUUCCUCCCCUAAAUCCUUGUGCUAAGUGUCUAGAGCUCCUCGUCGAAACAAUAAAAUCUUUGGUUUAGUUGACUUCAUUAUAAUAACUCUAUGAUUUGUGCUCCCUUAGAGGAUAUUUUCACUUGUAUAGAAAGACCUAUGGGGAACACACUGUUUCAAUCCCUGUCAAACUGGGGGUCAUUAUGCAGUUGGAUUUUUGGUUGCACCUAUUUGGUUAUCGGAUCGAUCAGAAACUCAGCAGUAGGCAUCACCUUUGAAUCUACUUCACAAACUAAAAUGUGAAACUAGUUGCACACAUGGUCAAGGGUGUUCAAUGCCUGGUAGCAUCAACCCCAGCAAAGCUACCAGAUUUGGAAAAAUACUUUUUCCUUUGGUAGGCACUGCCAUGAACAGAUAAUAUGAUGAGAAAUUUAUGUAAAACCCUGGGGAAUAUCGUUAAAUCUAUGACUAAAGCAAUAGCUGCCCAAGAAAAGUCUUUGCAUCCCCUUUGGAGUGUAUUAGAUAACAGAAUCGCUUUUGAUUGCCUCUUAGCUGAACAAGCUGGGGUUGUUCUGUGAUAAACACCUCUUGUUGGACUCGGGUUAACACCCCUGGUGAAGCAAAAACUGAACUAGACAAAAUGUGAGCACUGGCCAAACGGUUCAAUGCAAUGUCCACUGACCCCCAUGGCUCUUUGAUCUCUUUAGCUGGCUGCCGGCAGGAAUGGCCUCCUGGUUCAGGUCUUUUCUCCAACUUGGACAUAGCAUUUUGCUUAUUAUCAUGGGAGUUCUCGCUGUUGUAAAACUUUGUCUCUUCUGCAUGUCCUGAUGUCAUAUAAACACCACCUGGAAUGCUCAGCACUUUGGAAUGAUUGCUAAGGCUUAGGAGCCUUCACCUGAGAAACUUUGACGACCUACCAACAAUAUUUGCCCUUAAAGGAACUUGACAGUAAGGCUUUCCUCUGCCCUGGCACUCUUGCUGCUCAAACGUGGCCUAAGGAAACCACUUUCCCUCCCACAUGGGACAUGACAUACCGAGAGUGAACCUUCCUGACAACGAGGGACCCACGAUGCUUUGAUGGUUGAUCAGCAAUGCUUUCCAAUAGUUGAUCAGCAAUGCUUUCAAAUGGUUGAUCAGUGAUGCUUUCAAAGAAAACCCUCAGUCAAAAGUGGGAAAUGUCAAAAUUGACAAGAGCAGAGCCAUUUUAAAAUGGAGUCAGAGCUGCCUUUCUAGAGAAACUGCUUUGCUGUCUUAAUCCUUGGACUGGGCCAAACCUUUGGGUUGGGGCAAAACAGCAAUUGUACAAGCAACUGUUUGAGCAAUCAGCAGGAGAACAGACAUCCUGAUCACAAAGACUAAGGAUGGUGGACUUUCUGAAGAUAGAAUCAAUAGUCAAUCAAUGUUUAGCCGAGACUAGCUUCUGUCUCCAACUCCAGUUAAAAUUCUUGAUGAUACAACCUCCCUUCUUUGCCUUUAAAAGCCUCUGACUUUUACUCCCUAAUGGGACUCUGUCUGGGUUUCUUCCUGUAUCUGUGCUCCCCAAAUUGCAAUUUUCUGAUCCCAAAAUAAACGCCUCUCUGCCUCUCCUUUUGGCUCUUUAUUCCUAGGUUAACCACUCCUGGGAACUAACUUUUCCCUCCCACUUGGAGGAAAGAACAAUGCAAAUUUCAAUCUCUUCGGCCCACCCGAAGCUCACUUUUUGGAAUAGUUGGGCCCUUUUUCCUCUUAUCCAGAGGAGAGAACAAAACCAAAGG